AGCUCGUUAGUAACGAUGUUGUUCAAGUUCCUGUUCCGUGACAUCAA
rnacentral:misc_RNA from 1 species